CCUACGGGGGGCAGCAGUCGAGAAUCAUUCACAAUGGGGGCAACCCUGAUGGUGCGACGCCGCGUGGGGGAAUGAAGGUCUUCGGAUUGUAAACCCCUGUCAUGUGGGAGCAAAUUAAAAAGAUAGUACCACAAGAGGAAGAGACGGCUAACUCUGUCCAAGCAGCCGCGGUAAUACAGAGGUCUCAAGCGUUGUUCGGAAUCACUGGGCGUAAAGCGUUCGUAGGCUGUUUCGUAAGUCGUGUGUGAAAGGCGCGGGCUCAACCUGCGGACGGAACAUGAUACUGCGAGACUAGAGUAGUGGAGGGGGAUGCGGAAUUCGCGGUGUAGCAGUGAAAUGCGUAGAUAUCGAGAGGAACACUCGUGGCGAAGGCGGGUUACUGGACAUUAACUGACGCUGAGGCACGAAGGCGAGGGGAGCGAAAGGGAUUAGAUACCCGGGUAGUC
rnacentral:rRNA from 1 species